CUCCAGUUGCCGAGGGGAAGGGGCUGCCACUGCCGGGCGCAAUCCCCCGCUGGAGCGCCGGCUUCCCGUCAAGAGACAGUGAUUGUUGAAGGCGCUUCUGCGUCAAAAUUCCCCUCGAUGUAAUGUUAGCCGUGAAGUGAAAGGGGCGCGGCCAUUCACUUCACGGCUAACAUGCCACGCAAUGGCACGUUUUGCUGCAGGUCGCCUUUUGCCGAGCGGCGGAGGCUUGAGGACAGCGGAGCGCUCGGCGCUCCCGCAGCGGUACCCGCGGUGUCCCGGGAAACUGAUCUGGAGUUCCAGUGCUUUAACCAAUGUAACUGAUCUUGCGUUAGAACUUCUUUUUUAAGACUCUCUGAAUGGAUGCUGUAAUGUAACCUGACCUUUCCUGUGCAUCAUUACAGUUCAGCCCAUCUCCUCUGUGCGCUUCACAGCCCUGCAUGCGGUGCCCUUGGGAUACGUAUUGGAUGCUUCCGAGUCUGCUACAGCGUCGUGCAAACUUGUUUCUGAGAAAUGGCAGACUUGGUGAUGUUUCUUGUAGCUGAAAUAUGCCACGAUAUUUGAAAAAUGCUGGAAUAUUGAUAUAGUUUGUGACACACAUUCUAGCAAUAGUUUUGAGCAGCUUUUGGAUCAAAAUUUUGAACAAUGCAUUUUUCCAUGAAAAUUUGUCCCUUUUGGAGAAUGACCCCAGCAUGCUUCCUGAGAGAUUACUAUGGGAGUCCUUCAUCUCACAUCUGCUUUCUCCAACCACAAGUGUACAAAUUUGUGAAAAUAACUAUUUUAUCAGUUCUUUGUAACACUAUAUAAUAAAUAUUUUCUUUUAGGAGUUUUA